rnacentral:rRNA from 1 species
UACGUAGGGCGCAAGCGUUGUCCGGAAUUAUUGGGCGUAAAGAGCUCGUAGGUGGCUUGUCGCGUCUGCCGUGAAAGCCCAUGGCUUAACUGUGGGUCUGCGGUGGAUGCGGGCUGGCUAGAGUUCGGUAGGGGGAGACUGGAAUUCCUGGUGUAGCGGUGAAAUGCGUAGAUAUCGGGAGGAACACCAGUGGCGAAGGCGGCUAUCUGGGCUGAAACUGACGCUGAGAAGCGAAAGCAUGGGGAGCGAACAGG